rnacentral:rRNA from 1 species
UGGGGAAUAUUGCACAAUGGGCGAAAGCCUGAUGCAGCAACGCCGCGUGAGUGAUGAAGGCCUUCGGGCUGUAAAGCUCUGUCUUUUGGGACGAUAAUGACGGUACCAAAGGAGGAAGCCACGGCUAACUACGUGCCAGCAGCCGCGGUAAUACGUAGGUGGCAAGCGUUGUCCGGAUUUACUGGGCGUAAAGGAUGCGUAGGCGGAUUUUUAAGUGAGAUGUGAAAUACCCGGGCUUAACUUGGGUGCUGCAUUUCAAACUGGGAAUCUAGAGUGCGGGAGAGGAGAAUGGAAUUCCUAGUGUAGCGGUGAAAUGCGUAGAGAUUAGGAAGAACACCAGUGGCGAAGGCGAUUCUCUGGACCGUAACUGACGCUGAGGCAUGAAAGCGUGGGUAGCAAACAGGAUUAGAUACCCUGGUAGUCCACGCCGUAAACGAUGAGUACUAGGUGUAGGAGGUAUCGACCCCUUCUGUGCCGCAGUUAACACAAUCAAGUACUCCGCCUGGGAAGUACGAUCGCAAGAUUAAAACUUAAAUGAAUUGAC